AUUGCAAUUAUUUCCCUUGAACGAGGAAUUCCCAGUAAGCGCGAGUCAUUAGCUCGCGUUGAUUACGUCCCUGCCCUUUGUACACACCGCCCGUCGCUACUACCGAUUGAAUGGUUUAGUGAGGUCCUCCGAUUGAACCCGGUCCGGGCGGCGACGUCCGAGCCGGCGUCCGAGAAGACGAUCUAACUUGAUCAUUUAGAGGAAGUAAAAGUCGUAACAAGGUUUCCGUAGGUGAACCUGCGGAAGGAUCAUUA
rnacentral:ncRNA from 1 species